GACGAACGCUGGCGGCGUGCUUAAUACAUGCAAGUCGAACGGAAAGGCCCUGCUUUUGUGGGGUGCUCGAGUGGCGAACGGGUGAGUAACACGUGAGUAACCUGCCCUUGACUUUGGGAUAACUUCAGGAAACUGGGGCUAUUACCGGAUAGGAGCUCCUGCUGCAUGGGGGGGGUUGGAAAGUUUCGGCGGUUGUGGAUGGACUCGCGGCUUAUCAGCUGGAUGGUGGGGUAGUGGCUUACCAAGGCUUUGACGGGUAGCCGGCCUGAGAGGGUGACCGGCCACAAUGGGACUGAGAUACGGCCCAGACGCCUACGGGAGGCAGCAGUGGGGAAUAUGGCACAAUGGGCGGAAGCCUGAUGCAGCAACGCCGCGUGCGGGAUGACGGCCUUCGGGUUGUAAACCGCUUUCGCCUGUGACGAAGCGUGAGUGACGGUAAUGGGUAAAGAAGCACCGGCUAACUACGUG
rnacentral:rRNA from 1 species